AGUCUGUUAUUUAAAUUCAUACUAUACUAAAAUAUAAAGAACUGAUCUGAAGCUUAGUUUUGAGAAUAUUCAAAGCCUAAACAUGAAAUUUAUCACCAUAGUGCUCUUGAUAACUUUGAUGGUGCUUAGCAUUGAAGCGGCAGAACCAUCUGUUGUUGCAGGCGAUUCAUUCUUGGAGGAAAUUGAAGAAACAGAAAGAGCGACAAAGUGCAAAACAAGUGGCAGUUGCUCAAAGAAAGAGAAAUGCUGCAAAACGCACGUAUGUAGCUGCAACAUGCUUGGAACAAACUGCAUGUGCCAUUAGUUACAGCUUGGCCUACAGUGGAUAAUUUUCCUUUCUUACACUUCCUUUUUCACGCAAUGUUAAUAAUAUGAAUAAUUAUGUAAUAAAAACCAAAAAACACAGGA